CAAAACGUUGCGGUGNUGAUCAGUUUACGUCGGAUUANUUAGCUUGUGGGGUUGUGACCCCCCAGGGCCACCAUUCGUAACUGGUCUGCAACCCUGAUCAUAAGCCCUGUAACGGCUUGACGGUCCCCACUCCUUCCUGAGGUUUCUCUGGGGAAUAUUGGACAAUGGGCGAAAGCCUGAUCCUGCCAUGCCACGUGUGUGAUUGCGGUCUUCGGAUUGUAAAGCACUUUAUCUGCGAGGCGGGCCGCCGAUUACACUUUGCUCUUUUGACGUUCCCGACAAAAUAAUCACCGGCCAACUCAGUGUCAACAGCAUGUCCAAGCCUGAUGACGUUCUUCGUAAUGNUUCUUACUGAUGUAUGCUGCGCCUAUGUGGCUCGCUCCCUUCGAUGCGAAAUAC
rnacentral:rRNA from 1 species